UACGUAGGGUGCAAGCGUUGUCCGGAAUUAUUGGGCGUAAAGGGCGCGUAGGCGGUGCGGUAAGUCACCUGUGAAAUCUCCUGGCUCAACUGGGAGCUUGCAGGCGAAACUGCCGUGCUGGAGUGUGGGAGAGGUGCGUGGAAUUCCCAGUGUAGCGGUGAAAUGCGUAGAUAUUGGGAGGAACACCAGUGGCGAAGGCGGCUCACUGGACCGGAACUGACGCUGAGGCGCGAAAGCGUGGGGAGCAAACGGG
rnacentral:rRNA from 1 species